GUCUACGGCCAUACCACCCUGAAUGCACCUGAUCUCAUCUGAUCUCGGAAGCUAAGCAGGGUGGGGCAUGGUUAGUACUUGGAUGGGAGAGCGCCUGGGAACACCAGGUGCCGUAGGCU
ensembl:rRNA n-R5s25 5S ribosomal RNA